UCUAAGUAUUCCACGUACAAAUUGUGUUAAAAAUGGGUGUAAUCGUUGAAGAAAAGUGUUUUCUACAAAUUCCUAUGAUUUUUCAUUACUCAAAUUGCAAUAAUUUCUUUAAAAACAUGAUUUUUAAAAACCAUAUUCAAAGCCACAGAACAAAACUGUGUUGCGAAUACGCGCCGCUGUGUAUUCAAUACGCGCCUAGCAGCCGAACACACCCGAGAGCAGCCGAAGACCGAAAACACACCAAUACUUUCAGACACUUUGACUGAAAAGAAAAUCAAAAUGGACUAAUAGAAAUUUAACAAAAAAUGAAAAAUAGAUUUUUUGGGCUGAAUUAACGCUCAAAAUAUGGUUUUAGACUUUUUGUUAAUUUUCAAUGAAAAUUGGCCUUUUUGAAAAAUUAAUGCUAUUUUCAGCCUACUACGAUUGGCGCGUUAUAAAGAGCGCAUGGGCCGUAAUAGAACAUACACAUAAAAAGCAUACCUUAGCGAGUUCAGUAUGAUUUUUUAGCAUAAAAUCAUAGUUUAGAUUCUCCUCUAUCGAUCUGUCAGAAAAUAUUGUCUUAUUUGUUUUUCUCUACUUGAUGACACCUUAUUGAAAGUGUUUUAAAAUUUAGAUCGAAAUGAAGAAAAACCUAAAUUGUGAAAUUAUCACGACACAGGGGCAUUUUAAGGAAAAAUUCAUACUUGCCAUGACCAAUCACAGCAUUUAAAACAAAUUGGUAAUAUUUUGCAGGCUUAAAAUGUUUCAGAUUCUUCAAAACAAGAGUGGCGCGUAUUAGCCACAUGGGGCGUUAUAUGAACUUUUCCCCUACUGGUUUCGCCGGCUGUGGCAGCAAGCACGAUGGUGGCUGAAAAUGAAGGACUAGCUGCUGAGUGUGAAUGGGUUUUAACUUCUAUGAUAAAUGAAUGCGGAGGCCAUGGUCAUGCUGGGGAGAGCUCUAUUGCAGGCUAGUAGGUGGAACAAACAAUCCCAGUAAAAAAAAAGUUCUAACCGAAGAGUCGGUCGGUCGAUGAACACCGUGAAACGUGCAUGAUCCGGUGAACAAUUCCAACUCUAGCCAGUCCGGCGCUACCGUGAUGUAUUUCAAUUUUUGGAUAAUUAGGAACUAAAAAUAUUUAAUUCUCAGCUAUCAAUCUUCGCUACCGAUUGGAACACCAAGCACGAACGACAGCGGAAAAAGAUGCAAUUCCAAAAAAUAAUCGUUCCGAUUCCUUUGAAUGAUCCAAACAGGAUCGAAUUUGCCCGCAACCAAAUUAGAUAUUGCCGGCAAACGGUUUUAACAA